GACCUACGGGGGGCAGCAGUGGGGGAUAUUGCACAAUGGGGGAAACCCUGAUGCAGCGACGCCGCGUGAAGGAAGAAGUAUUUCGGUAUGUAAACUUCUAUCGGCAGGGAAGAAAAUGACGGUACCUGACUAAGAAGCCCCGGCUAACUACGUGCCAGCAGCCGCGGUAAUACGUAGGGGGCAAGCGUUAUCCGGAUUUACUGGGGGUAAAGGGAGCGUAGGCGGGUCAGCAAGUCAGAAGUGAAAGCCCGGGGCUCAACUCCGGG
rnacentral:rRNA from 1 species